UCAGGAUCAAAAACUGCACAGCUUACUUUGUGUACGAGUUGAAGCCGACACCUGGUUUUUAUAGUGUGUAUUGUACAGUUACAGCCUCUGCACUUGGUGAUCCGUGUGUAAAUUACAGCAUCUUGGAUCAGUCCUGGAGGAGAAUGAAUUCUCCCAGCACGAGUGGAGAAUGUACGUCUGACAAAAACCUUGAACAAGGAUGGUACAGAUUCAGCAGUUCCGGCAGAUGGAAACUCCCCGAGACAGCAGUUCCACGGGGUUGUUGCUGCGGGAAGAGACAAGGCUGGUUGGAAGGUUCCCAUCCCGCUGUGGCAGAGGGGGA